AAUCAACGCUGGCGGCGUGCCUAACACAUGCAAGUCGAACGGGAAAACGGGGGCAACUCCGUGAGUAUAGUGGCGUACGGGUGAGUAACACGUGACUACCUACCUUUGAGUGGGGGAGUAACCCCGGGAAACCGGGGACGUAAUACCGCAUAACAUCGCAAGAUCAAAGAAAGCAAUUCGCUUAAAGAGGGGGUCGGCGGCUGAUUAGCUAGUUGGUAGGGUAAUGGCCUACCAAGGCGAUGAUCGGUAGCCGGCCUGAGAGGGCGCACGGCCACACUGGAACUGAAACACGGUCCAGACUCCUACGGGAGGCAGCAGUGGGGAAGUUUUGUCGCGAAUGGGGGAAACCCGUAGACGCAGCAACGCCGCGUGGAGGAUGAAGU
rnacentral:rRNA from 1 species